GACGAACGCUGGCGGCGUGCUUAACACAUGCAAGUCGAACGGAAAGCCCUGCUUUUGUGGGGUGCUCGAGUGGCGAACGGGUGAGUAACACGUGAGUAACCUGCCCUUGACUUUGGGAUAACUUCAGGAAACUGGGGCUAAUACCGGAUAGGAGCUCCUGCUGCAUGGUGGGGGUUGGAAAGUUUCGGCGGUUGGGGAUGGACUCGCGGCUUAUCAGCUUGUUGGUGGGGUAGUGGCUUACCAAGGCUUUGACGGGUAGCCGGCCUGAGAGGGUGACCGGCCACAUUGGGACUGAGAUACGGCCCAGACUCCUACGGGAGGCAGCAGUGGGGAAUAUUGCACAAUGGGCGGAAGCCUGAUGCAGCAACGCCGCGUGCGGGAUGACGGCCUUCGAGUUGUAAACCGCUUUCGCCUGUGACGAAGCGUGAGUGACGGUAAUGGGUAAAGAAGCACCGGCUAACUACGUG
rnacentral:rRNA from 1 species